UACAUGGGGUGCAAACGUUGCUCGGAAUUAUUGGGGCGUAAAGCGCGCGUAGGCGGUUACUUAAGUCGGAUGUGAAAGCCCUCGACGUCUAACUGAGGAAGUGCACCCGAAACUGAGUAGCUAGAGUACGAAAGAGGGUCGCGGAAUUCCCGGUGUAGAGGUGAAAUUCGUAGAUAUCGGGAGGAACACCGGUGGCGAAGGCG
rnacentral:rRNA from 1 species